GAUGAACGCUAGCGCUAGGCUUAACACAUGCAAGUCGAGGGGCAGCAUGGUCUUAGCUUGCUAAGACUGAUGGCGACCGGCGCACGGGUGCGUAACGCGUAUGCAACUUGCCUCACAGAGGGGGAUAACCCGUCGAAAGACGGACUAAUACCGCGUACACUCCAUCUUGGGCAUCCAAGGUAGAGGAAAUGAAAUUCGCUGUGAGAUAGGCAUGCGUCCCAUUAGCUAGUUGGUGAGGUAACGGCUCACCAAGGCGACGAUGGGUAGGGGAACUGAGAGGGUGAACCCCCACACUGGUACUGAGACACGGACCAGACUCCUACGGGAGGCAGCAGUGAGGAAUAUUGGUCAAUGGGCGAGAGCCUGAACCAGCCAAGUCGCGUGAAGGAUGACUGUCUUAUGGAUUGUAAACUUCUUUUAUACGGGAAUAACAAGAGUCACGUGUGACUCCCUGCAUGUACCGUAUGAAUAAGCAUCGGCUAACUCCGUG
rnacentral:rRNA from 1 species